rnacentral:rRNA from 1 species
UACGUAGGAUGCAAGCGUUGUCCGGUUUUAUUGGGUUUAAAGGGUGCGUAGGCGGCCUAUUAAGUUAGUGGUGAAAACGUUCGGCUUAACCGGAUACCCGCCAUUGAUACUGAUAGACUUGAGUGCGACAGAGGGUGUUGGAAUGUGUGGUGUAGCGGUGAAAUGCUUAGAUAUCACGCAGAACACCAAUUGCGAAGGCGGAUGCCUAUGUCGUAACUGACGCUGAGGCACGAAAGCGUGGGGAGCAAGCAGG